rnacentral:rRNA from 1 species
UACGGGGGGGGCAAGCGUUGUUCGGAAUUACUGGGCGUAAAGGGCUCGUAGGCGGCCAAUUAAGUCAGACGUGAAAUCCCUCAGCUUAACUGGGGAACUGCGUCUGAUACUGGAUGGCUUGGAUUCGGGAGAGGAAUGCGGAAUUCCAGGUGUAGCGGUGAAAUGCGUAGAUAUCUGGAGGAACACCGGUGGCGAAGGCGGCAUUCUGGACCGAUAUUGACGCUGAGGAGCGAAAGCCAGGGGAGCAAACGGG